rnacentral:rRNA from 1 species
GACGUAGGAGGCGAGCGUUGUCCGGAUUCAUUGGGCGUAAAGAGCGCGCAGGCGGUUUGGUAAGUCGGAUGUGAAAGCCCGGGGCUCAACCCCGGAUCUGCAUCCGAUACUGCCCGACUAGAGGUAGGUAGGGGAGAUCGGAAUUCCUGGUGUAGCGGUGAAAUGCGCAGAUAUCAGGAGGAACACCGGUGGCGAAGGCGGAUCUCUGGGCCUUACCUGACGCUCAGGCGCGAAAGCUAGGGGAGCGAACAGG